ACAGCCACUCCUCUGCUCUUUCUCUCUCUCGCCUCAUUGGUCUGCAAACUUUGGUGUAGAAAACUAGUUUGGUUUGUGACCUGUUCCGAAGUUGCAAUAGAUGCGGCGCGGUUUGUUGGAAGGUCGAGGAACGGCUCAGCUUGUGACAUAGUCAGCAUGCUCAAACACUAAAUCCAUGCUCCAAUCCCUUUCCUUUGUUAAAAGCAACUGUUCGAGAAACAAGCAAUGCAGUAGUUGCUCUUUUCUUCCCUUUUCUGUUUCCGUUUUUUUGCCCACAAGUCGAAGAACGGUUGAUGAGUUUGGAUGUGAACUAGUCUAAGAUGGUGCUUGCUUUCUGUGUGUUAAAAAGAGUGAUUGAAUUGAAUAAGAGAAUUUAAAUCCACAAUUUGGUUGGAUAACUUGACAUUUGGUUUUAUAGGAUUUUUCAUUGACAUAUAUGUACAUGUAUAAUUAUAUUUUUUAUCCAAAAUUUUACGAGUGCUAGAAUUUUUUAUUAUUUUUUCUCCAAAUUCUCAAUGAAAGUUGAGUGUCUAAUUGAAAUCUGUUGAUGUAACAUGCAAUGACCAUGGUUUUUGAACUACAAAAUGUCAAGGUAAAACAAAAAUGGCUUGGAACACUUCUAAAUUGUAACAAUUAGAAAUAUAAUUGACUCUUUUAAAAUUAAACAAAUGAGGUAUCCAGUAGUUUAAAAUAUGGGUUUAAAGAAUUUAAGUUUUUAUAUACAGUAAAUUUUAGAAGAGAUAAUAUAUUGUAAAAACAAUUAAUUUUACAAAUGAUAAUUUUUGGUUUUUUAUUAUAUUACGAAGUGGGAUGUAAAAUGUGUGUAAUUAGUUUGGAUUAAUAUCAAC
rnacentral:lncRNA from 1 species